rnacentral:rRNA from 1 species
AUUGAACGCUGGCGGCAGGCCGAACACAUGCAAGUCGAACGAGUGGCGGACGGGUGAGUAAUGUCUGGGAAACUGCCCGAUGGAGGGGGAUAACUACUGGAAACGGUAGCUAAUACCGCAUACCAGCGGAUGUGCCCAGACGGGAUUAGCUAGUAGGUGGGGUAACGGCUCACCUAGGCGAAGAUCCCUAGCUGGUCUGAGAGGAUGACCAGCCACACUGGAGCUGAGACACGGUCCGUACUCCUAAGGGAGGCAGCAGUGGGGAAUAUUGCACAAUGGGCGCAAGCCUGAUGCAGCCAUGCCGCGUGUAUGACGAAGGCCUUCGGGUUGUAAAGUACUUUCAGCGAGGAGGCGUUACUCGCAGAAGAGGCACCGGCUAACUUCGUGCCAGCAGCCGCGGUAAUUC